rnacentral:rRNA from 1 species
UACGGGGGGGGCAAGCGUUGUUCGGAAUUACUGGGCGUAAAGGGCUCGUAGGCGGCCAACUAAGUCAUACGUGAAAUCCCUCGGCUUAACCGGGGAACUGCGUCUGAUACUGGAUGGCUUGAGUACCGGAGAGGAAGGUGGAAUUCCCGGUGUAGCGGUGAAAUGCGUAGAUAUCGGAAGGAACACCAGUGGCGAAAGCGGCUUCCUGGUCCAGCACCGACGUUCAGGCACGAAAGCGUGGGGAGCAAACAGG